rnacentral:rRNA from 1 species
GACGAACGCUGGCGGCGUGCCUAAUACAUGCAAGUAGAACGCUGAAGGAGGAGCUUGCUUCUCUGGAUGAGUUGCGAACGGGUGAGUAACGCGUAGGUAACCUGCCUGGUAGCGGGGGAUAACUAUUGGAAACGAUAGCUAAUACCGCAUAAGAGUAGAUGUCGCAUGACAUUUGCUUAAAAGGUGCAAUUGCAUCACUACCAGAUGGACCUGCGUUGUAUUAGCUAGUUGGUGAGGUAACGGCUCACCAAGGCAACGAUACAUAGCCGACCUGAGAGGGUGAUCGGCCACACUGGGACUGAGACACGGCCCAGACUCCUACGGGAGGCAGCAGUAGGGAAUCUUCGGCAAGGGACGGAAGUCUGACCGAGCAACGCCGCGUGAGUGAAGAAGGUUGUCGGAUCGUAAAGCUCUGUUGUAAGAGAAGAACGAGUGUGAGAGUGGAAAGUUCACACUGUGACGGUAUCUUACCAGAAAGGGACGGCUAACUACGUG